rnacentral:rRNA from 1 species
UACGAAGGGGGCUAGCGUUGUUCGGAAUCACUGGGCGUAAAGCGCACGUAGGCGGAUCUUUAAGUCAGGGGUGAAAUCCCGAGGCUCAACCUCGGAACUGCCUUUGAUACUGGGGAUCUCGAGUCCGGAAGAGGUAAGUGGAACUGCGAGUGUAGAGGUGAAAUUCGUAGAUAUUAGGAAGAACACCAGUGGCGAAGGCGGCUCACUGGCCCGGUACUGACGCUGAGGCGCGAAAGCGUGGGGAGCAAACAGG